GAUUAAUAAAUUGAUAUUAGUCAAAACCCCGUUCAUAAAAUAACGCUGGUCAAGGGAAGUAAUUGUUGCGAUCUCUGAUUUUGUUUGUGUCUAUGAUUAUCGUUUGUGCAAAUGGUGGCGCUGUUGGGAAAAUUUGAAAACAACACGAUUGGCAAUUUAUUUGGAUUUCGGAGAUCCUUGCCCUGGUUGAAAUUUAGAGUAUUGCAGCUGUAGCCUGUAUACCAUACAUUCAACAUGAAAAGGACUGUCAGGAUGCUGCAUAAAAUGGUCUUAGCUAGAGCCUAUAGAAUGUUAAUUUCUUGGGAAUAUGCUGCAAGGAACUGACCGGGAGCAGUUUUUCUUACCGAUCAUAGAAGCAGUAAGAGACAGCCAAAGAAGUACUCAAACACUUGACAUACCCAGAAAGAUCUAGAAGAAAAGAUUGGAACAGAUUGUAGUUUAAUUGUUAAAACUAUUGAAGUGAAUUUAAGCUGCACUUGAACUGUAUUUUUGAAAUAAAAUAUCUGAAGUAUUUAAUAUUGUCUUGAUAUUUUGUUAAACUUGGUUACUUUGCUUUUUAUCCAAAAAUUAAAGUAUGGUGGGUUUUCAACGUUGAAAUGACAUUCAAACUUCAACGUUGA